rnacentral:sRNA from 1 species
GCUGCAUGCCCACAUUGGGCGUUUCCUCCCUGACUGGGCCGCUUGGCAGCAAUGCCGACGGCCUCUUUAUCUGACGCC